rnacentral:rRNA from 1 species
GACGAACGCUGGCGGCGUGCUUAACACAUGCAAGUCGAACGGUAAGGCCCUUCGGGGUACACGAGUGGCGAACGGGUGAGUAACACGUGGGUGAUCUGCCCUGCACUUCGGGAUAAGCCUGGGAAACUGGGUCUAAUACCGGAUAGGACCACUGCCUGCAUGGGUGGUGGUGGAAAGCUUUUGCGGUGUGGGAUGGGCCCGCGGCCGAUCAGCUUGUUGGUUGGGUGAUGGCCUACCAAGGCGACGACGGGUAGCCGGCCUGAGAGGGUGACCGGCCACACUGGGACUGAGAUACGGCCCAGACUCCUAUGGGAGGAAGCAGUAGGGAAUAUUGCACAAUGGGCGAAAGCCUGAUGCAGCGACGCAGCGUGAGGGAUGACGGCCUUCGGGUUGUAAACCUCUUUCAGCACCGACGAAGCGCAAGUGACGGUAGGUGCAGAAGAAGGACCGGCCAACUACGUGCCAGACGCCGCCGUAA